AGAGGGGGGAAGCGUUGCUCGGAAUCACUGGGCGUAAAGGGCGCGUAGGCGGGAAGCCAAGUCGGUCGUGAAAUCUCCGGGCUCAACCCGGAGGAGUCGGCCGAAACUGGUUUUCUUGAGGGAGGCAGAGGAGUCUGGAAUUCCCGGUGUAGCGGUGAAAUGUGUAGAGAUCGGGAGGAACACCGGUGGCGAAGGCGGGACUCUGGGCCUACCCUGACGCUGAGGCGCGAAGGCGUGGGGAGCAAACGGGAUUAGAUACCCCGGUAGUCCACGCGGUAAACGAUGACGACUAGGUGUGGGGGGGUUCAGUCCCUUCCGUGCCGCAGCUAACGCAUUAAGUCGUCCGCCUGGGGAGUACGGCCGCAAGGUUG
rnacentral:rRNA from 1 species